GACCUUUUCAGCACAGACGCAGUUAUCGG
rnacentral:sRNA from 1 species